rnacentral:piRNA from 1 species
UCUUUUUUGGGUGAGCAUGUU